rnacentral:rRNA from 1 species
GACGAACGCUGGCGGCGUGCUUAACACAUGCAAGUCGAACGGAAAGGCCCUGCUUUUGUGGGGUGCUCGAGUGGCGAACGGGUGAGUAACACGUGAGUAACCUGCCCUUGACUUUGGGAGAACUUCAGGAAACUGGGGCUAAUACCGGAUAGGAGCUCCUGCUGCAUGGUGGGGGUUGGAAAGUUUCGGCGGUUGGGGAUGGACUCGCGGCUUAUCAGCUUGUUGGUGGGGUAGUUGCUGACCAAGGCUUUGACGGGUAGUCGGCCUGAGAGGGGGACCGGCGACAUUGGGCCUGAGAUACGGACCAGUCUCCUACGGGAGACAGUGGUGGGAAACAUUGCACAGUGAGCCGAAGCGUGAUGCAGCAACGCCGCGUGCGGGAUGCCGGCUUUCGGGUUGUAAACAGCUUUCGCCUGUGACGAAGCGUGAGUGACGGUAAUGGGUAAAGAAGCACCGGCUAACUACGUG